rnacentral:lncRNA from 1 species
AACUGUCAUUUCUUAUAUGUGGUAAUUGCUAUUCCUAUUUUGUAGGUGUUAAAAUUUGAUAAUAGGAAUAAAAACGUGAGAAGUUAUAAAGUGAAAUAUUUUGUUAAACUGUUCCAUAAGUGCAGGAUGGUAUGAGUGCCACAUAUUAUUAUUAUUAUUAUUGGAUAAAAUAAAAAGAAUUAAAAAAUCUAAGGGUAAAAUCGGGAGAA